rnacentral:rRNA from 1 species
GACGAACGCUGGCGGCGUGCCUAAUACAUGCAAGUCGAACGGUCUUUUCUAUGGAAGCUUGCUUCCACUGAGAAGAUAGUGGCGAACGGGUGAGUAACACGUGGGUAACCUGCCCAUAAGAGGGGGAUAACAUCCGGAAACGGGUGCUAAUACCGCAUAGGUUUCUUGAACGCAUGAUCGAGAAAGGAAAGACGGCCUUUGUGCUGUCGCUUAUGGAUGGACCCGCGGCGUAUUAGUUAGUUGGUGAGGUAACGGCUCACCAAGACGAUGAUCCGUAGCCGACCUGAGAGGGUGAUCGGCCACAUUGGGACUGAGACACGGCCCAAACUCCUACGGGAGGCAGCAGUAGGGAAUCUUCCGCAAUGGACGAAAGUCUGACGGAGCAACGCCGCGUGAGUGAAGAAGGUUUUCGGAUCGUAAAACUCUGUUGUCAGAGAAGAACAAGUCGGAGAGUAACUGCUCCGGCCUUGACGGUAUCUGACCAGAAAGCCACGGCUAACUACGUGCCAGCCGCCGCAGUAAUAC